AACCAUCUCGACGAUUAGGUUAACUCUUAACUUAAUCGGGUCAAACCCAACUGAAUCCAAUUCAAUUGGACUUGAUCCAAAAAUAAUUACUCAAUCAAAUUGAGUUAAUUAAUGAUCAAAUUACUAAUUAAAUCUCUCAUAAAUAUUGAGUCCAAAUUCGAUGGGUAAUCGGGAAUCAGAAUUCAACGAUAUGUAACCCUGAUCGAAGAGUCCCAAACCAGUGGGACUCUUGACCCCGGUACCAAAAAUGUGUGGGACUCGUGAUCAGAGAAUCUUGAUUCUCGAUCACAGAGUUUCAGACACGUAGGACUCAUAGUCCAUGAGCAUUAGGACUCUUCAUCAGCCAUCAGAUCAGAUAGGAACCUCAAAUGUGUGUGACCCCGUAGGUUCGAAUCUAAGCCGGUAGCACAGGAACCAAUUCCAGUACUAAUCGAAGUGACCAUCUAGCAAUGGUACCCGAUGAUCGGAU
rnacentral:lncRNA from 1 species